rnacentral:rRNA from 1 species
GGUGCCAGCAGCCGCGGUAAUUCCAGCUCCAAUAGCGUAUAUUAAGUUGUUGCAGUUAAAAGCUCGUAGUUGAAUUUCGGGACCAAUUUGUUGGUCGUGCCUCGGUACGUACUGGUAUUAUUGGUUUCUCCCUUCUGAAGAACCUCGAUGUCAUUAAUUUGGUGUCGUGGGGAGUCAGGACUGUUACUUUGAAAAAAUUAGAGUGUUUAAAGCAGGCUCACGCUUGAAUACAUUAGCAUGGAAUAAUGAAAUAGGACGUUUGAUUCUAUUUUGUUGGUUUCUAGGGAUCGACGUAAUGAUUAAUAGGGAUAGUUGGGGGCAUUAGUAUUCAAUUGUCAGAGGUGAAAUUCUUGGAUUUAUUGAAGACUAACUACUGCGAAAGCAUUUGCCAAGGAUGUUUUCAUUAAUCAAGAACGAAAGUUAGGGGAUCGAAGACGAUCAGAUACCGUCGUAGUCUUAACCAUAAACUAUGCCGACUAGGGGAUCGGAUGAUGUUAAUUUUUAAUGACUCAUUCGGCGCCUUACG